ACCCGCUGAACUUAAGCAUAUCAAUAAGCGGAGGAAAAGAAACCAACAGGGAUUGCCCUAGUAACGGCGAGUGAAGCGGCAACAGCUCAAAUUUGAAAUCUGGCUCCUUUGGGGUCCGAGUUGUAAUUUGCAGAGGGUGCUUUGGCAUCGGCGGCGGUCUAAGUUCCUUGGAACAGGACAUCGCAGAGGGUGAGAAUCCCGUACGUGGGCGCCUGCCUUUGCCGUGUAAAGCCCCUUCGACGAGUCGAGUUGUUUGGGAAUGCAGCUCUAAAUGGGAGGUAAAUUUCUUCUAAAGCUAAAUACCGGCCAGAGACCGAUAGCGCACAAGUAGAGUGAUCGAAAGAUGAAAAGUACUUUGGAAAGAGAGUCAAAUAGCACGUGAAAUUGUUGAAAGGGAAGCGCUUGCAGCCAGACUUGCCCGCAGUUGCUCACCCAGGCUCCGGCCUGGGGCACUCUUCUGCGGGCAGGCCAGCAUCAGUUUGGGCGGUUGGAUAAAGGCCUCUGUCACGUAUCUCCCUUCGGGGUGACCUUAUAGGGGAGGCGCAAUGCAACCAGCCCGGACUGAGGUCCGCGCAUCUGCUAGGAUGCUGGCGUAAUGGCUGUAAGCGGCCCGUCUUGAAACACGG
rnacentral:rRNA from 1 species